rnacentral:sRNA from 1 species
UCUUAGAACUGGGGUUCUUAGAAGUGGUGAUGCAAGAAGUUUCUAGGAAAGGCCGGACACCAGGUUUUGAGCAAAAUUUUGGACUGUGAAGCAAGGCAUUGGGUAAGUAAAUAAAAUUAUAUGCUUUAAAAUGUUGGGACAAACUGUUUCUUUUGAAUUUGCCAAUACAUAUGUUUCUGUGAACUUUGCCACUGUUCAUUAUAUGAGACAAGGAUAACCAGUUCCCUCUAUAUCACUCCUAGUCCUCAUCCUUCACCUCUGUAUUAGACUGUCUUAACACUUGCAUGGUCAAUCAUUCUUUUACUCUUUCUUUGUACAAACUAAUUUAGCCAGCUACUGUGCACCAACAAUAUGCUAGCUCCUCGAGGUACAAAAGUCAGGCAACUCCAAAGCCUAACAGUAGAGAGAGACCAAUGGUGACUGAGAUGAUGAAAUAUGAUACUUAUGAGAAUAGCUGUGAGUUUUGAGAACCUCCUAUGAACGAGGAAUGUAUUUCUUUUAUAACAACAUAGGUAUUACUACUU